rnacentral:rRNA from 1 species
UACGUAGGGUGCGAGCGUUGUCCGGAAUUAUUGGGCGUAAAGGGCGCGUAGGCGGCCCGGUAAGCGUGUGGUGAAAGCCCGGGGCUCAACCCCGGGUCGGCCGUGCGAACUGCUGGGCUGGAGCACUGUAGGGGCGGGUGGAAUUCCGGGUGUAGCGGUGGAAUGCGUAGAGAUCCGGAAGAACACCAGUGGCGAAGGCGGCCCGCUGGGCAGUGGCUGACGCUGAGGCGCGACAGCGUGGGGAGCAAACAGG